rnacentral:lncRNA from 1 species
GAAACACUGAACAAUCGCGUACCUGCACACCUCUUCCCAACUCUGCAGUCAGUCUCAUUGUUUUUUUUUAUUUUUUUUUGAGACAGAGCCUCGCUCUGUUACCCAGGCUGGAGUGCAAUGGUGUGAUCUCAGCUCACUGCAUCCUCCGCCUGCUGGGUUCAAGUGAUUCUCCUGCCUCAGCCUCCCAAGUAUCUGGGAUUACAGGUGCCACCAUGCCUGGCUAAUUUUUGUAUUUUUAGUAGAGACAGAAUUUCACCAUGUUGGCCAGGCUGCAUCAUCUUUUAAAUAAUUUUUUUGGUUAGUGAUACCAUCUUGGUAGCUUGAAAUUUGGUCAGAGGGCAGUAUUUACACCAUGGAAAUCAGCAAACGCUGCAAAUCAGGCCCAUCCCCUUUCUGGAGCUGAUUGUUAAACACUUAGGAGCACACCAUUGCCACACACAAGCCAGGAUGCAGGAGCCAGAAUGAAGGGGAUCUGGGAUGGGGACUCAAGGAGGCCAGAGCCCACCCUCAAUGGAGGGAUUCAAGGCUGUGCUUCCCUGGUAGGAUUUACUUCCACCCCAGAAUGCCAGGGUUGAUUUUAGAACUUUAGAAGAGUCUCCUGAGUUAAUCAUGACCCAUUGUUUCCUCGGCAGUCGGAAGGCUCCACCCGCCAUUGUCCACCACCCAUCCCAGCUCCUCAGAGGCUCCUGCAAGACCGGAGUGGGAGGAACCUUGAGGUCAGAGCCUUGGACAGCUGCCCUGUGUGCUGGUGGCUUCUAUUGUGAGCACCCGAGGAUCUUGGAGCUUCCUCAUGGCUGGGCCUCAGAACCCACUGGGGACCAGCCUGUUUAUGCUUAAAAACUUGAGGCUCUCUGGAACUGAUGACUAUGAAGGUACCAGUUGCUGCUGUAACAGGAGGUCCUGGGACUUGUUGCCAGUCGGUGGGUGUUGCACAGGGAGCCACCCAGACUCUUCUGCCUGGGGAGCGGGGGGCCUCUGACAGCUGUGCAGAGCUCAGGUGGAGGCCUCGCAUGUGCUGGCCGCUCCUCAGCUGUGUGGACCAGGCAGGCAAGCGUGAUCACGUCCAGGGUCCUCUGGCACCUCUCUGGAGGGUGCACCAUCAUUUCCCCUGUUCUGG